GGUUGGGGAAGUGGAGGUGCCACAAGCCGGAGCUUUGUGCGAGGUGAGAGCAGCCCCUCUGCACCUCGAGCUGCCAAAAACAGAGCUGGCUUUCACCUCCCAGCCCCGUCCCCUCCGGGAAGCAAGACGUGAGCUCCUCGUUUCCAGCACCAUCAGGACAUGAGCUCCUCAUUGCCAGCACCAAGCAGGACGUGAGCUCCUCAUUGCGAGCGCAUCUCCGGGCUAGAGCAAUCAGCACACAGCAGGCAUGCACAGACAAGUGUCAGCUGAAUCUCUGUGUGAUUUUAAAUACAUUAGUGAGGCCACGAGUACAGCUCUGAGCCGAUAAAUAACCCCCAAACCAACCAGCAGGAAAAUAACCCCCUCCUUCCACCGGAGACGAGGCAGGAGGCAACGUUAGCAUCGCUUUCCCCCUUGUGUCUAUGAGCGGAUCUCUGUGCUUUAAUCCAGACCCACAAGGGUCAAUUCUCUGCCACUUCUGCGGAGUCAUUAUACCGCCUGUUAUAUAAAUGUCUGGGCAUGCACAAAAGGCAGUGCUGGUACAGAGGCUCCGACACAACUCUCUCCAACACCUGCUUUCAGCUGGGGAGAGAGCCGAGCGCGAGAGCAUCUCGAGAGCUGUCACACUGAAAGCUGCUGUCUUUCAAGCUGAAUGGAGGUCUAAAUAGCUCUCACUUCUCCUUUAGAAUCUCAUUUCUAAAUGCAAUUAAUACUGGCACAUGCAUAAUGAGAGGCUGACGAGUGAAUGCAGACUCCGGCAGCAAGAAGGCAGCCCAAGUGCUAUGUAAAUAUUACAAAUCCUCACUCAGAGCUGACCUGGGAAGACAGCUUUCUGAUGAUUAAACCCAAGUGACAAUGCCACUGGAUUCCUACAUCUGUCACAAUACUACCUGCUGCUACAUAAUGAGCUACGCCAAAAGAAUCAGCUCUUGCUGCUCUUUAAUGCAGAUAAAAUGUCUAUUUGCAGAGGGUAAUUAAUCUCUUCUUCAAAACUGGGAACCUUAGUGUCCUUGGUAACAACAUGCCAGUGACUCAGAGCAAGUCCCAGCCUUCUCCUCUGGUUUUUGAGUGAGGUACUGGAAGUGACCCCCAGUUCUUGCAAUGGGAAGGAGACGCAUCACAGCUGGAGGAGCCAUGGGGUGCAUGGGGUGGGGGAGGGUUCAGCCCUGCUCCGGGCUCUCUGCUGGUUUGGGUAGCCCAACCUUGGAGGGGGCGGCCAAUGUUAGGUCCCCAAGGCGCAAAUCCCCCUUGAUCCCACUGCUCACCACCGGGUGACCACGCGGAAGUGGAGCAGCAGUGCAAAUCACGGCGUCACACUGCUCCCUGCUCUGCCCCGGCUCCCACCAAUGGGAUGGGACCCAAAAGGUGAAUCCUCCACCCCAAAGCACUCGGGGGCUGCAGCAGCUUUCUAUGAACAUCGCUGGGAAGCAGCCGCUGCCGCCGGGUUCUGCUCACUGACCCAAUUCCAAAGCCCGAGGGAAGGACGCGCCGUGAUAAAGGGAGGGAUGCUGGAAGGAAGCGAUGAGGAAUUGUAUGAUUUAUUUAUUUCCUGGCAAAAAAAAAGAAGAAAAAAGAAAGAAAGGAAAAAAAAAAAAAAAAGAUGUGUUGGCUAAAAUCAGCAUAUUCCAGGCCAAACUGUGCUGCAGCAGAGCCUCGUGGGGCUUCAGCUGAGCAGAGCUGGGGGAAAACAUGGGGAAAACAUGGGGAAAACUUGGGGAAAAUAUGGGGAAAACAUGGAGAAAAGGUGGGUUUGGGUGAUGGUGAGGGCGCAGCUCCUUCAUUGCCAUGCUGUGGAAGUUAGCACCUUCCAUUUGGAAAGCCAAAUGGGUUCAGAUGCUCCCAGUGUAGCCCGGUCCAGGCUCAGCCCAUGUUUUCCAUCCUCAGGCACCCCGAGGGAGAGGAAGAGGAGUCCAGGAGGGAGGAAGGCUCUGAGCCUCGCGCCACCUAACGCUGCUGCAGAGCCAGACCAGGAUUUACAGGUCUCUUUGCCUACUGGUGAGGCUGCGUGAGCUCUGGAAAGUGGCUGCUCCUGAGGUGCGUGGAAAUAGAGACACAGAGCCUGAACUGGGCAGACCAGGGGGGGGGAAAGCCCUUUCUGGUGCUUCCAACAGCUGCCCAGCUCCCAGCCACAGAACACGCCGAGAACCCCUCCAAAACCCACCUCCAUGGUGCAGCUCGGGGUAAACCGAGGCCAAAUGCUGCAAAUCCCGAAUGCUGGGUCCGGAGGGGCUUUGGGUAACCCCGCAGCGAUGCCCUUUGGGAGCCAUAAGGCAGCCCAUGGGCACGGGGCGAUGGCACGUUGUGCUCCCGGCGCUGGGACUCUCCCAGCUCUCCCACCCGUGCACACACAUUAAUAAAAGAUCAGUUUGCAGACGCAGCUUGCUGUAGACGACAGCAUUAGAGGCGCAUCUGGUUUCUGCUAAGCACCGGUCUCGUGCUGGGUUUAUUUGGUCCAUUUGUGGCAGGGAAGAGUUGCUUUCAGCAUUCAAUGGUGUCUCAUGUCUGGGAGAGGUGGGGGGGGAAGAUGUAUUUUUGGUGCAGCUUAGCCACAAAAAUUCAGUCUCGGAAUAAAGACAAAUAUUCCUGUUUUC